AUGGUCGUCACCGCCGCCUCAGCGUCCCCGUGGCCGUCGUCGUCCUCUCCGGCCGAUCCCGCGCCAGGAGCACCGUCGACGACCUAUGCUUCCUCCCCGACCACGGCCUCGAGCAGAAGACCACCACAGCGCCGGGAUCGACCGGUUCCUCUUCGGUUGUCGCCGACGAUCGUCGCCAAAUUCCCCAUCGAUGCUGCUUCUAAACUUUCGACGGGCCUUCUUGUGCCUUCUCAACGUUGGAGCCCAGGAGCCAGACGCCACCGUCGACGACGACGGCUACUACUCGGGAGGUGUCUACUACUACGUGCAGCCCGCUGA
rnacentral:rRNA from 1 species